rnacentral:lncRNA from 12 species
UUGGGGGUUGGCCACCCUCUAUUCCCCUGGGAAGAUCCAGCUUGUGAUCCCCACCCAGGGUGCAGGGGAAAUUUCCGUUCUGUGCUGAAGGGAAGUCAAGGUGGGAUUGCCCCAGGCUCAGAGCUCAGCCCUGCUCAUGCCCAGGGCAGUGAUUCCCACCAGGAGCUGACCCUGCUCCGGCUCCAGGAGCCCUGGGAGUUCCUCUUCCCACGGCCCAAGGGCGGGAGAAUCACAGCCCCUGUGCCCCCACCCUCCCCACCGCCCCUCUGUCCCCAUCCCAUGACCACACCAAGGCUGGAGCACCUUGGAUUUCCCAGUCCAGCCAAACUCCAGCGUUUCCCUGAGUCAUCUCCUGGCACCACAGCAGGUGACACUGCUGAACCAGGGCCAGGGGGGCUGCUUGGGGGUCCAGCUGGGGGUCCCUCAUCCAGGGAGCUCCGUGGGGCCACAGCAGCGGGAUGGGGACAGGGGCAGGGACAGGGGCAGGGACAGGGACAGGGACAGGGGGACAGGGACAGGGACAGGGACAGGGGCAGGGACAGGGGCAGGGGCAGGGACAGGGGCAGGGACAGGGACAGGGACAGCAGCACUGCAGGGCCAUCGAUCCCAGGCCUGUCAGGCCAGUGGUAACACAACAGUCAACAAGACACAUGCCCUGAGGCAAACCUCAAACAUUAAAUUCCCCAGCGGAGCGGAGUUCCCGGCU